CUAGAAAUGUCUUUAAAGCUAUAUGAGAAGCUACAUGUGGUGUGGGGGCACUACCUGCUAUCUCAGCACUGUGGGAGGCUGAGGCAGGAGGAGCCCAGUCCAGGCAACUUGGUGACUUGGGGUGACUCUGUCUCAAAAUAAAAAUAAAAAUAGAGCUAGGGAUGUAGCUCUAUGCAAACAUCACAGUUUCAGUUUCCAGUACUGAAAAGCAAACAAAAAGCCCAUAAACUCUCUGUGAAGAAUUUUUAAAGUAGCAUUAUCAUCAGUGGUGCUUGAAAGUCAUUCCCAGCAUCAGUACCAACUUAACUUCACAUGGGUCAUUGUGUAGCUACAACCUAAACGGCGGGAUAAAUGUGGCAACCAAGGCCUAACACAUUCAGAAACACAAUCUGGAAUCCCACGAAGGGAGAAGGCACAGAACCCAGGUGUACUGAAUUUUGUUCUGCCCUCUCAAAAUCUGAACCCCCAGCUGCCCUACUCCUACACCUAGUACUCUCAAAAGGGGUUAUCUACAGAACAUUUUAAAAUGUUCUCUCAUGUAUGUCUACACAAUUAUUGUUUUUAUCCUGCCCUUGAGGUCACACCUGGACCUGAGUUCUGGAAAGGAGCAGAAUCUGCCAUCAUUUCCAGGAGUCCUCAAUUUACCAUGCUGUCCAUGCAACUUUCCCGUUCACCCACCACCAUAUCUUGUCUUGGAACGAAAUGGCAGCUGGCGGCAGCACAACCAGUCAGAGUUUUCUCAUUUUCCAGAUGCACACACAGGCUUAACUAAGCAGGUACAACGAUCAACAAAGAACCAGAUGAACAUGCAUCACUUUCCCUUGUUUGCCGCGAGGCAGCUCACCUCUGGGCCCAGGAACCCAAACCGGUAGGCAUGUAUUUCCCUUCAUAAUUACAAUCAGCCCACGAGUCUCAUCACAGUCAGCGUGAUAGUAAUACUUUUUAUAAGACUCAUUUCCACAACACUUAAACAUGGGUUUUUUUCUGACAUUGUCUCCUUUAGCUUCUAGAACAUAGGGAAAGCUUUAUAUGGAAACCUCAGUUGAUGGGUUAAACAUUAGUAAUACCACUUUCACCAUAACUGAUGGUUUACAAGGCAUAUUGCCACUCAUGUUCUUAUUGAAGAUCCUACUAGUACUUAGUGUUUAAUAUACUUAACAUCUUCCAGCUAUCAGUGGAUAUGAAACUUGGGGUGAUCUCUGUGACUGGUAUAAAUAACAGAACAAUUUUUAAAAGAAAAUACAAAUUUGGUAUAGUGCCGCCAUUGUAAACCUGAGGCGGAUUUAAUGUCUUGCCUCUAGGCUAAAGGGAAUUAACCUGAGAAGGCAAUGCUUACUUGGUUUGUAAAAGAGCCAGCUGUAGUUCUUUUUAGUUUGUUUGUUUGGAGACAGGGUCUCACUAUGUAGUUGACAUUGACCUGGAACUCACUAUGCAGUCCAAGCUGGUCUCUAACUCACAGCGAUCCUCCUGCCUCAGCCUCCCAAGUGCUGGGAUUACAGGUGUGCGCCACCACACCCAGCUUCCAGCUGUAGCUCUUAAGAAAGUUUCUUACUCCUGCAAUUUCUCCACCUUCUGAAUUUACAGAAAUUGAG
rnacentral:lncRNA from 1 species